UGUCUGUUAGUUUAAUGGUAGAACAAGGUAUUCCUAAUACUUUAAUCUGGGUUCGAAUCUUAGACAGAUAA
rnacentral:tRNA from 1 species